AGUCUGGUAGUGCUUUUCUCACCUUUCUCAUCCCCCUCCCUGUCAGUCAUUUUUUUUUUCAUAGCACAGAUUCUGUGCUGUUGUUUUAAAUAAUUUUGUUUUCAACUUUAAUUGAACUUUUAAAUUAUUCCAUUUUAUGUUCUGUGAUACUUAGGGGUCUUAUUGUGGCCUAAAGACUCCUGUUCUAAUUUUUUUUUCUGUCUACACCGUUUUGUUAGAAAUAGGUAAUAUAAUCUUUCCUUACACUAUGUUUUAAGUCAUGGGAAAUAAGCAGUGUGUGUCAGAAUUGCUUUUAAGUUUUUAGAAAUCUGCUUUUAUAAUAGAUACCAUUUUGCUAACAGUAAUUUUUAAAUCCUUACUUCAGCUGGUUUUUGUUCACUAUGCAGAUGAAAUAUUACCCAACAUGCGGAAUAUAUGUAAUGAUCUCAUUUAAAGCUUUGACAAUGUGGCAAUUUGUGUCUUAAGAAAUUCUGUUGCUUAGACUUCCUACAUCAAGACAUUGAAUUAUGGGUUAAGGUUUAUGUCUAUAUUUCAAAGGGAAAGAAGUUGGAAAGAUGAAAAAGAUUAACCCUUUAAAAAUUAUCUUAAUUAACCUAGGGUGUGUUUCUAAUUGUUUUAAUCAACCUAGGGUGUGUACUCAACAGUUACUAAUUGUACAGCUAGCCUCAGGUAUCUCAUGCAGCUUAGACAUUUUCCAUUGGCAAAUUCAGACUGGGGUGAUCUUAAUCAGGAAUAUGAGGGUAAAAGAAAAGCCAAACUGCUUAUCUUUGAAAAGAUACUAUUUCUUGUUUAGUUUUCCAUCCUUAAGUAGGUGCUAGAUUGUAAUACACAGAAAACGCUAUGUUAAUCCUAGAACUCUAUGCAGACCUAGAAGGCAAAUACAGUGACUGCAAAGUAGGACAUUCUUUUUACUCAGUAAAGUUAAGGAAUAGCAUUUAUCAUUUCGGUACAAAAGAAAAUCAAAGAAAAGAAAAAAAAAAUUGGCAAUUGAAAGAGCCGUAAACAUUUUUUUUCUAUUAUGUUACUGAAGAUCGCUUUAAAAAAAAAAACGAAUAGGAGAGUGAUAAAAUAAUACUAAAAAGAAGGGAACUCAUAUUUUGCUCCCCUUUUGUAUGAAAUGCCAGUGAUAUCAAAGCAUUAAAAAGAAAAAAAAUUGUGGAGUUAUGUUAGGAAUUUAGCUUGAAAUAAGUCACUUUAAUGUGAUUUUUUAAAAGACAGUAAGUAUUGUUUGCAUUUAGUAUAAGCUACAGUCAUGAUACAUUAGAAUCAUGAGUUAAAUUUUUUACAUUUUUUUCAAAUAUUGAGACCUAUAUAGAUAGAUGCAUAUCAAAGGGAUAGAAUGUGGUUUAUAGGGAAAAAUUUAACUUGGUUGUUGUAACCAAUCGAGUUGAAUGGAAAGCACCACACUCUGAGUUUGAAUUAUGAGUCCUUUAUUGCCGGUGACUGAGCGUUAGCUCACGCUCCAAAUCUCUCCGCCUCGAGGAAGGUAUUUGAUUUCCUUUUAUAUAUUGCUCAGGGUAAAGGGGCAAAGCGGAAUUUUACAGAAGCAGAAUAAGCAAGUUAGGGGAGGAGGCUGGUAACUAGGAGGCACGAGGCUCCCAUGAUUGUUGAUUAACUAAGGAGGGUAUACACAAGCGGUUCCCACAAUUGCUGGUUAACGGGGUGGGGGCGGGGGCGCAUUCAGUGCUUUCCAUACUCAAUCAAGGGGGUAUUCACAAUACCAGGUGGGCUUGUCAAGCAGGAUAGGGUUACAACAGUUAUAUGUUUCUAUAGCUCUAAGUACAACAUGACCCAGCACAGGAACAUGACUGAGGUAUGCACUCAGGAGAAAUGGUGGUGGGGGGAGGUGAGGCGGAGGUUAAGAUGGAGUCUGACAUUUAGCAAAAUGGAGUCUGUCUGGCUAAUACAGGGUAGGUUAACACAUGGUGAGCAAAACUGGCUAGAAUAAACUGAAUAAGCAUAUUACUGGUACAAAGUAAACAUCUAUUGCCCAGUGUUUUGGUUAUAGCCUUCCAAUACAACUUUAUGAAUUCUUCAACCUCUCAGGGUUUUAAAUCUGUAUUCCAGCGGGAGGUAUUGAAUUACCAAUAUUAACCAUCCUUCACCACCACUCCCUACUGCCAAAUAGUGGGAAUUUAUACUAUUUAAAGAGCUUUGGAUUUCAUAUAGGGAACUAGAUUCUAGUCCUGUUUGUGAUCUUGUAUACUCAGAGACAGUUUUGUAUGUUUUUUUUUUCCUCCCAGAUAAUUACAUAGGGCUAGAUCUUCUUGGGUCUCUCUGUUUCACUUUUAAAAUUAACUUUAUUAAAGUAUAAAUUAUAUGUAAUAAAAUUCAUCAAAUGUAAGUAUGUAGCUUGAUGUAUUGGAAAUGUAUGUAGUUGUGAACAACUACCACAAUCAAAACAAAGGAAUAUUUCUAUCAUUCCCUUUACGGUUCACCAACCCCAACCCCAGGAACCUGUCUGCUUUCUGUCACAAUAGUUUUACCUCUUCUAGAAUUUAAUAUAAAUGAAAUUGUAAGGUAUGUGACUUUUAUGUCUGGCUUCUUUCACUUAGCAUAUCUAGUCACUUUUUUGAUGAUUUUUGAAAGUUUUAUUUGUAAUUGAUACAUCAAAUCAGAAUAAUUAGCUAACACAUUGAUUGCCUCAAACACAUAUUAUUUCUUUCUGGUGAGAGCAUUCAAAAUCCUCUCUUCUAGUUAUUUUCAAAUAUACAAGACAUUAUUGUUAAUUGUAGUCACCCUACUGUGCAAUGUAACACUAGAAUUUAUUCUUCCUAUCUAAGGGUAACUUUGUAUCUGUCGAUCAUUCUCUUCCUAUCACCAUGUUCCCAAUCCCCUCGUUAGCCUCUGGUAACCACUAUUCUAUUCUCAGUUUCUAUGAGAUGAACUUUUUUAGAUUCCACGUAUGAGUGAGAUCAUGUGGUGUUUGUCUUUCUGUGUCUGGCUUAUUUCACUUAACAUAAUGUCCUGCAGGUUCAUCCAUGUUGUCCCAAAUGACAAUUUUAUUUUUUUUAAUGGCUGAAUAGUGUUUUUGUUUUGUGAGACAAAAUCUCACUGCCGCCCAGGAUGGAGUGCAGUGGUGUGAUCUUGACUCACUGCAACCUCUGCCUCCUGGGUUCAAGUGAUUCUCGUGCCUCAGCCUCCCGAGUAGCUAGGAUUACAGACGCCCGCCACCAGGCCCGGCUAAUUUUUGUAUUUUUGGUAGAGACGGGGUUUCAGUGUUUUAGCCGGGAUGGUAUCGAUCUCUUGACCUCAUGAUCCACCCACCUUGGCCUCCCAAAGUGCUGGGAUUACAGGUGUGAGCCACCACGCCUGGCCUGAAUAGUGUUAUUUUUGUACAUUUAGGGGAUACAAGUGUGUUUUAUUACAUGAAUAUAUUUCAUAGUAGUGGAGUCUGGGCUUUUUAGUUAACCAUCACCUGAAUAGUAGACAUUGUAUCCAUGAGUUAAUUUCUCCUCCAUCAUCCCUUUUCACCCUGUUACCUUUCUGAGUCUCCAGUGUCUAUUAUUCUAUGCUGUAUGUCCAUGUGUAUACAUUAUUUAUUUCCAUUUGUAAGUGAGAGUAUGCAGUAUUUGACUUUCUGAGUUAUUUUACUUAAGAUAACAUCCUCUAGUUUUAUCCAUGUUGCUGCAGAAGACAUAAUUUCAUUCUUUUUAAUGGCUGAGUAAUAUUUCCUGGUGUGUAUACACACCAUUUUUUUAAAUUUAGUCAUUUAUCAGUGGACACUUAGGUUGAUUCCAUAUCUUUGCUAUUGUGAAUAAUGCUAUGAGAAAUAUAUGAAUACAGGUAUCUUUGAUAUAAUUAUUUUUCCUUUGGGUAGAUACUCAGUAGUAGGAUUGCUGGAUUGAAUGGCAGUUCUAUUUUUAGUUCUUUGAGAAAUCUGCAUACCAUUUUUCAUGCAGGUUGUACUAAUUUCCAUUCCCACCAGUAGUUGUAAGUUUCCCCUUUUCUCCACAUCCUCACCAAUAUCUGUUAUUUUCUGACUUUUUAAUAGCCAUUCUGACUGGUGUAAAAUGGUAUCUCAUUGUGGUUUUAAUUUUAAAUUCUCUGAUGAUUGGUGAUGUUGAGCGUUUUUUUCAUAUGUUAGCCAUUUGUGUGUCUUCUUUUGAAAAAUGUCCAUUCAUGUCCUUUGCUCGCUUUUUUUUUUUUUUUUUUUUUUUAGAUGGAGUCUCACUCUGUAGCCCAGGCUGGAGUGCGUGGUAUGAUCUUGGCUCACUGCAGUCUCUGCCUCUCAGGUCCCAGUUCAAGCAAUUCUCCUGCCUCAGCCUCCGGAGUAGGAUUACAGGCACGUGCCGCCAUGCCCAGCUAUUUUUUUUUUUUUUUAAUAUUUUUAGUAGAGAUGGCAUUUCACCAUGUUGCCCAGGCUGGUCUUGAACUCCUGAUUUUGUGAUUUGCCCACCUUGGCCUCCCAAAGUGCUGGGAUUACAGGUAUGAACCACCUGGCCCUUUGCUCACUUUUUAAUAGAGUUAUUUUUUGUUUUGUUUUGUUUUCUUGUUAGGUUGUUUGAGUUCCUUGUAGAUUCUGGAUAUUUUCCUUUGUCUGAUGCAUAGUUUGCAAAUAUUUUCUUCCAUUCUGUAGGUUGUCUUUUUACUCAGUUGAUUAUUCCUUUUGCUGUGCGGAAGCUUUGUAGUUUAAUUAAGUCCCAUUUGUCUCUUGUUAUUUUUGUUGCAUUUGCUUUUGAGAUCUUAGUCCUGAAUUCUUUGCUUAGGCCAAUGACUAGAAAGGUUCUUUCCAGGUUUUCUUCUAGAAUUUUUAAAUUCUUCAGGUCUUAAAUUUAAGUUUUUUGUUUUUUUGUUUUUAGACAAGAGUCUCACUCUGUUGCCCAGGCUGGAGUACAAUGAUACGGUCUAGGCUCAUUGUAACCUCCACCUCCUGGGUUCAAAUGAUUCUCCUGCGUCAGCCUUCUGAGUAGCUGGGAUUACAGGUGCCUGCCAGCACACCCAGCUAAUUUUUUGUAUUUUUAGUAGAGAUGGGGUUUCAUGAUGUUGGCCAGGCUGGAAAUUUAAAUUUUUCAUCCUUAUUAUUUUUCUUUCUCCUCAAUCCAUCUUGAGUUAAUUUUGUAAAUGAUGAGAGAUACGGAUCCAAUUUCAUUCUUCUGCAUAUGGCUGUCUGAUUUUCCCAGCACCAUAUGUUGAAUAGGGUGUCCUUUUCUCAGUGCAUGUUUCUAUCAACUUCGUUGGAGAUGAGGAGGCUGUAGGUAUGUGACUUUAUUUCUGGGUUUUCUAUUUUGUUUCAUUGAUCCGUGUGUCUGUUUUUAUACAAGUACCAUACUGUUUUGUUACUAUAGACUUGUAGUAUAAUUUGAUGUUAGGUAAUGGAAUACCUCCAGUAUUGCUCUUUCUACCUGGGAUUGCUUUGGCUGUCUUUUUUGGUUCCAUAAAAGAUUUUUUUUUUUCUAACUCUCUGAAAAAAUGACAUUGGUAUUUUUAUAGGAAAUACAUUGACUCUGUAGACUGCUUUUGGCAGUGUGGUCAUUUUAAUGAUAUUGAUUCUUCCAAUCUAUGAACAUGGAAUGUUUUUUUUCAUUAGUUUGUGUCAUCUGCAAUUUCUUUAUUUGGUGUUUUGAAGUUUUGCUUGGCUUUCACCUCCUUGGUUAAUUGUAUUCUCAGGUAUUUAUAUAUUUUUGUAGCUGUUGUUAAUGGAAUUUACUUCAAGAUUUGGAUCUCAGCUUGAUUGUUAUUGGUGUAUAGAAAUGUUGCUCAUUUUUUUAUAUUGGUUUUAUGUUCUGAAACUUCAUUGAAUUCUUUUAUCAAAUCUAGGAGACUUUUGGAGGAAUCUCUGGGGUUUUCUAUGUAUAACAUUAUAAUAUCAGCAAACAGAUAAUUUAACUUCCUCUUUUCCAAUUUGAAUAUCUUUUCUUUCUUUCUCUUUCCUGGUUGCUCUGGCUAGGACUUUUAGUAUAUGUUGAAUGAGAGUGGAGAAAGUAGGCAUCCUUGUCUUCUUCCAGAUCUUAGAGGAGUGCUUUCAACUUUUCCCCAUUCAUUAUGAUGUUGGCUGUGGGUUUGUCAUAUAUCAUUUUUGUUAUAUUCCUUCUUUGCCUAUGAUAUGACUUGGAUCUCCCUUCUAGAUUUCAUGUUUAGAUGUAAUUCUCAUUGUUGGAGGUGGUACCUGGUGGGAGGUGUUUGGAUCAUGGGAGCACAGACCUCAUGGCUUGGUGCUGUCCUUUUGUGAGUGAGUCCUUGUGAAAUCAGGUUGUUUAAGACUGUGGGAACCCCCACCCCUACUCUCUGUUGCUCCCACUCUCACCAUGUGACGUGCCUGCUCCUGCUUCACCUUCCUCCGCAAGUAAAAGCCUCCCUAGAAGUAAAUGCCAAUGCCAUGCUUCCUGUACAGCUUGCAGUACCAUGAGCCAAUUAAACCUCUUUUCUUUAUAAAUUAUGCAGCCUCAGAUACUUCUUUAUAACAAAGCAAAAAGAGCCUAGAUUUUUUUAGGUUUUUUUGUUUGUUUGAAACAGGAUCUUGCUCUGUCCCUUAGGCUGGAGUACAGUGGCCUAAGUCAUGGCUCACUGCAGCCUCGACCUCCCAGGUUCAAGUAUUUCUCUUGCUGUAGCCUCCUGAUUAGUUGGGACACACCACUAUGCCUCACCAAUUUUUUAAUUUUUUGUAGAGAUGGAUUUCACCAUAUUACCCAGGCUGGCUUCGAACUUCUGGGCUCAGGCAAUCCACUUGCCUUGGCUUCUCAAAGUGCUGGGAUUACAGGCAUGGGCCAACACACCUGGACUAUGUUUGAUUUUUGUUUAUUUGUUUUUAAUUAUGAAGGGAUGCUGAAUUUUAUCAAGUGCUUUUUCUACAUGUAUUGAGGUGAUCAUGUGGUUUUUGUAUUUAGUUCUAUUUAUGUGGCGAAUCACAGUUAUUAAUUUAUGUUGAAUCAUCUUUGCAUCCCUGCAAUAUAACCCACUUGAUGUGAUGUAUUAUCUUUUUAAUGUACUGCUGGAUUUAGUUUGCUAGGAUUUUGUUGAGGAUUUUUGCAUCUGUGUUCAUCAGGGAUACUGAUUUGGAGGUUUUUUUUUUUUCCUUUUUUUUUUUUGUGGGCCCUUCCCUGGUGUCAGGGUGAUGCUGGCUUUAUAGAAUGAGUUACGGAGGAGUCCCUCCUUGAUUUUUUUGGAAGAGUUUCAGGAGAAUUGGUAUUAGUUCUUCAUUGUAUGUAUAGUAAAAUUUGGCUGUGAAUUCAUCUGGUCCUGGGCUUGUUUUUGUUGUUGGGAGAUCUGUUAUCACUGAUGCAGUUGUACUACUCAUUAUUAGUCUUUUUAGGAUUUCUGUCUCUUCCUAGUUCAGUCUUAGAAAGUUUUAUGUUGCCGGUUUUAACCAUUUCCUCUAGGUUUUUUAGUGUGAGUGUAGAGAUGUUCAUAGUAGUCUCCAAUUAUCUUUUGUAUUACUGUGGUAUCAGUUGUAAUAUCUCCUUUUUCUUUUCUGAUCUUGUUUAUUUGGGUCUUCUCUUUUUUCUUGGUUAGUUGAGCAGUCUGUUCAUUUUGUUUAUUUUUUUCAAAGAAUCCACUUUUCAUUUAUUUGAUUCUUAUUAUUUUUGUUGUUCUCGAUUUCAUUUAGUACUGCUCUGAUCUUUAUUUCUAUCUUUUUGCUUGCUUUGGGUUCUUGUUUUUCUAGUUCUUGAGGUAUGAUGUCAGAUUGUUAAUUUGUGAUCUUUCUGGGUUUUUUAAAUGUAGGCAUAUAAUGCUGCAAACUUCCCACUUAGUGCUGCUUUUGCUAUAUCUGAGAGGUUUUUCUAUGUUGUGUCUCCAUGUUCAUUUGUUUGAAAAAAUUUUUAGAUUCCUAUUUUAAUUUUGUUGACCCAAAGGUGAUUUGGGAGCAAGUUAAUUUUUAUGUAUUUGUAUGGUUUUGAGAGUUCUUCUUGGAAUCAGUUUCUAGUUACAUUCCACUGUGGUCCAAGAAGACACUUGAUAUGAUUUUGAUUUUUAAAAAUUUAGUGAGACUUGCUUCAUGGUCUAAAGUAUGGUCUGUCUUAGAGAACAUUUCAUGCACUGAUCAGAAGAAUGUAUAUUCUGUGGUUGUUGAAUAGAAUGUUCUAUAAAUGUCUACUAUUUGUUGAUUUCUUGUCUCAGUGAUCUGUAAUGCUGUCAAUGGGAUGCUGAAGUCCCUCUUUGUGAUUAUAUUUCUGCCUCUUUUCUUAGAGUAGUUUUUCUUUAAUUUUCUUUUCUUUUUCUUUUUACUUAUUUUUGUUUCAAGGCACUAUCUUGGGAGGUCCUGUGAACAUGUGCCCCAGUAGUAGUUGUCCUGUGAAUCUGGGUACCUCCUGUAUCAUUUACAUAUAUAUAUUUAGGAUUGUUAUACCUUCCCAUUGACUUUAUCCCAUUACCAUUUUAAAAUGACCUUCUUUGUCCUUUUUCACUGUUGUUGAUUUAAAGUCUGUUUUAUCUGAUACAAAUAUAGCUACUCCUGCUUGCUUUUGGUUUCUGUUGGUGUGGAAUGUCAUUUUCUACCCCUUUUUCCUUCAAUCUGUGUUAGGUGGGUUUCUUAUAAGCAGCAUAUUACUGGAUCAUUCUUUUUAUAAGACCUGUAAGUUUUAUGUUUUGUCUGUUUUUAUGAUGUUGAGCAUUGACCUUUUGUUUCCAUGUUUAGAACUCCCUUGAGCAUUUCUUGUAAGGCUGGUCUAAUGGUGAUGAAUUCCCUUAGCAUUUGCUUGUCUGGGAAAGAUUUUUCUCCUUCGUUUAUGAAGCUCAUUCUAGCAGGUUAAAAAAUUCAUGGUUGACAGGUUUGUUUGUUUGUUUCCUUUAGUAAGUCUGAAAAAAUGGGAUCAUGAUUUUUUUUUCUAGCUUGUAAAGUUUCUGCCAUAUGUCCACAGUUAGUCUGAUGGGAUUUCCUUUAUAAGUGAUUAGACACUUUUCUCUUGCUGAUUUUAGGAAUUUUUUGCCUUCAUGUUAUCAUUAGAUAGUCUGAUGACUAUAUGUGUUGGUGAAGUCAUUCUUGCACUGAAUUUUCCUAGAGUUCUCUUGGCCUCUUGUAUUUGGAUGUCUAAAUCUCUAACAGGAUUAGGGAAGUUUUCCUCAGUUACUUCCUCAGAUAGAUUUUCCAAACUUUUUGCCUUUUCUUUUUUCCUCAGGAAUACCUAUGACUUGUAGGUUUAGACAUUUUAUAUAACCCCUAUACUUCUCAAAGGCUUUGUUCAUUUUUGAAAAUUCUUUCCUUAUUUUUGUCUCACUUGACUAAUUCAAUAGACCUGUCUUCAAGCUCUGAGAUUCUUUUUUCUGCUGGGUUUAGUCUACUGGUGAAGCUUUCAACUGUUUGUUUGUUUAUUUAUUUAUUAUACUUUUAGUUCUGGUAUACAUGUGCAGAGAGUACUGGUUUGUUACAUAGGUAUACACAUGCCAUGGUGAUUGUUUGCUGCAUCCAUCGCCCCGUCAUCUACAUUAGGUAUUUCUCCUAAUGCUAUCCCUCCCCAAUCCUCCCACUCCCUGCAAUUCCUCCCCUAGCUCCCUACCCCCCAGGCCCCAGUGUGUGAUGUUCCCCUCCCUGUGUCCACGUGUUCUCAUUGUUGAACACCCACGUAUGAGUGAGAACAUGCAGUGUUUGGCUUUCUGGUCUUGUGUCAGUUCGCUGAGGAUGAUGGUUUCCAGUUUCAUCCAUGUCCCUGCAAAGGACAUGAACUCAUCCUUUUUUAUGGCUGUAUUGUAUGGUGUAUAUGUGCCACAUUUUCUUUAUCCAUUAUUGAUAGGCAUUUGGGUUGGUUCCAAGUCUUUGCUAUUGUGAACAGUGCCUCAAUAAAUAUAUGUGUUCAUGUGACUUUAUGAUAGAAUGAUUUAUAAUCCUUUGGGUAUAUACCUAGUGAUGGGAUUGCUGGGUUAAAUGGUAUUUCUGUUUCUAGAUCCUUGAGGAACUGUCACACUGACUUCCACAGUGGUUGAACUAAUUUAUGCUCCCACCAACAGUGUAAAAUUGUUCCUGUUUCUCCACAUCCUCUCCAGCAUCUGUUGUCUCCUGAUUUUUUAAUGAUAGCCAUUCUAACUGGCAUGAGGUGGUAUCUCAAUGUGGUUUUGAUUUGCAUUUCUCUAAUGACCGGUGAUGAUGAGCAUUUUUUCAUGUGUUUCUUGGCUGCAUAAAUGUCUUCUUUUGAAAAGUGUCUGUUCAUAUCCUUUGCCCACUUUUUGAUGGUGUUUUUUUUGUUUUUUUCUUGUAAAUUUAAGUUCUCCAUAGAUUCUGGAUAUUAACCCUUUAUCAGAUGGCUAGAUUGCAAAAAUUUUUUCCUAUUCUGUUGGUUGCCAGUUCACUCUAUUGAUAGUUUCUUUUGCUGUGUAGAAGCUCAUAAGUUUAAUUAGAUCCCAUUUGUCUAUUUUGGCUUUUGUUGCCAUUGCCUUUGGUGUUUUAGUCAUGAAGUCCUUGCCCAUGCCUAAGUCCUGAAUGAUAUUUUAUCAUUUCUUUGGUGAUUUUUUUCAUUUCCAGACUUGAUUUUCAUUUCUUGGUGUUGAUUUUUAGCUUUCUCUUAGAUCUCACUGAACUUCUUAGGAAUUAGUAUUUUUAAUUCUUUAUCUGGUGUUUCAAAGAUUUCAUUUUGGUUAAGAUCCAUUGCUAAAGAUUUAGUUUGAAUCUUUGAGGGUAUCAUACCACUGUUUUGUAUUCUUCCAGAGUUGUUUUGCUGUUUCCUUCUUGUAUAAUUAGAUAAACUAUCUCUUAUUAUUAUUUUUGAAUUUACUUUCUUUUGGACAGGAAUUUUUUCCUCUUAAGGAUAUAACUGUAAUAUAUGUUAUGUAAGAUCAUUUGGCUUUGGUUCUGGGUGCUUCCUUGGCAGACACUCUGUGUGAGUUCUUUGAAUAUAGCCUUUGUGUGGUGGUUUUCUGAUAUCUUAGUUGUAGUAGCAGUGUACUGGGUAUAUGAGCAGUAUUAUAGCUUCCUGCAGGGCUGAGAUGGCAGCAGUCCCAAGAAUCAUCUCAUUACACAGCACUGUGCACUUGUGUCAGCAGAUUUUCUAUUGGGUUGUGCAUUUCAGCCUCAGCAGAUGGGCAGGUGCUUAAUCUUUGUUUACUGGGAAAAGCACUCUGUUGCUUCAGGCAGUGGGCUGGGCUGUGGAAUGUACAGUGGCUUGAGCUCUCUGCCCACCCUCUAGCGGGGGACAAAUCAUGGCAGAGAUGGACAGCCAGGCCUGCCCUUGGAUUCCCCAAUGGUCAGUGCAAGCAGUAAUCCUGAUGUGGGUGGCAGGGAAGCUCCUGGUAGGUACAGUGAGGUCUCUGCAGUGAGGCAGGGAGCCAUCACAGCUCCAUAGCCUGGGCAGGCAGAAGUGUGAUCUCCCUUCCUAUCAUGCCCAUGUCCCCAUACUCAGAACACUCAAACUUGUCAGACACCACUGUCUGUCUCCGGACUGCAAUGUAGCUGAGAGCCAUAAAAGAUGACUACCCCAUGGCUUGCUGUCAGAAUGUCUUUGUUUCGAAAUCUUCUCCCUCAGUCCAAAACACACAGCUUUUUGGCUUUCCUUCUCUCCCUUGCAGGAACACUCCUGCUCUGUAUGGAGAGGGGAAGAGGUUCUCACCUUUUACACAAGCUUAGAUAUGGUGGACUGAUUGCCAGUAAGACCACAGUCACCCCUGUCUGCCCCAGAAAGUUUGUCCUCUGACAUGCUCAUGCCAGUUUCCUGUGGGAUCAGCCAUGGAUAUGUCUACAGCAGUGGGGGUACGGAAGAGCCCCCAUCUCCAUGCCUGGGUCUGAACAUUCACCCCAGGUUGGCCCCUGGGAUGAAAUCAUACUUGCAGUCUUGCAGAGCCAAGCACAUUGCCCACAUCUUUGCUGAAUGCAGCACAGUCACUCACAGCCCACAGGUGGUGAGCUUUUGGGCACAGGAAAGUGUGUGUUCUGGUUUCCUUUGUCCCUGUGGGCACUCCCUUGGUCACCACACUUGUUUUUCUCUUCGGGGCAGCACUUGCUUAGGAACCCUGCAGCUCACUGGGUCCAGCCAGCCCUUUGCUGCUAUCACAAUCUAAGCAGGUGCCAGGGAAUAUCUAUGGGGCUCUGUUGAUUUGGAGACACAAAGGCUAAGGUUCCCUCAGCAGGACACAGACCUCUGAUGGCUGUGUUCCCAGUAUUGCGCCCUAUUGCUGCUGCUCGAGUCCAGGGGCAGAGUAAGCAACCCAGUGCAAAUUGGUAGUCUGGUGCAGUGCCUUCAAUAAGUCCCCACAUCACUGCCCACACCAGUGUCUGGGUUUGCAGGGGUAGAAGAGCUCUCUGACAGUUCAGAUACCAACAGUUUGUCACAGGGGAACAAGAAGCCCAAAACACUCCCACCUACCCUUUCAACUAAAUACCAAGUCCCUCAGGAUUUCUAGCUGAUCUCUGCCAGCCUCUUGCUUCCUUCUUUUUCUGUGCCCCAGUUUUUUCUCAUGAGUUCUCUACUAGGCUCGAGCACUCUCUGCUUGAUAGUCUAUUCAUAUUAAAUUGGUUAUUCACUUGUAACUUUGGUUCUUCUUUCUGAAGAGAACUGACAUUGGACAACUCUAGUCAUUCAUCUUGAACCUUCUCCCAAAGGAUAGUAGUUGAUUGUGCAUACACACCACAUUCCCCUUAUCCAUUUAUCUGUUGAUGGAGAUUUAGAUUGAUUCCAUAUCUUGGCUCUUGUGAGUAGUGUUGUAGUAAAUGUGGGAGUACAGAUAUCUCUUUGAUAUACUGAUUUCUUUUGGAGACAGCAGUAGAUUUGCUCGGUCUGAUUUUUUUAUUUUGAUAAAAUAUACUCAACUUAAAAUUUACCAUUUAAGCGUACAGUUCAGUGGCAUUAAGUACAUUUAUAAUAUUGUGCGGCCAUCUCCACCGUUCAUUUCUAGAACCUUUUCAUCGUCUAGAAACAGAAACUCUGUCUAGUAACAGUAAUCUUUUCCCAUCUCCCCAGCCCCUGGUAACCUCUAUUUUACCUUCUGUCUCUAUGAAUUUGCCUAUUCUGGGUAACUCAUAUAAGUGGAAUCACACAAUAUUUGUCCUUUUGUGUGUGGCUUAUUUCACUAAGCAUGAUGUUUUCAAAGUCCAUCAUUGUUGUAGCAUGUAUCAGAAUCUCAUUCCUUUUUAUGGCUGAUAAAAUUUCAUUUUAUGUAUAUACUACGUUUUCUUCAUCUAUUUGUUUGUUGAUGGACAUUUAGGUUCUUUCUGCCUCUUAACUAUUGUGGAUAAUGUUGCUAUGAACAUUGCCCUAUAAGUAUCUGUUUGAGGUCCUGCUCUCAAUUCUUUUGGGCGUAUACCUAGAAGUGGAGUUGCUGAAUCAUAAGUAAUUUUAUGUUUAACUUUUUGAGGAUGUGUCAGACUUUUCUAUAAUAAUUGUGCCAUUUUCCAUUCCCACAAGCAGUGUACAAGGGUUCCAAUUUGUUAAUAUCCUUGCCAACUCUUAUUAUUUUGUUUUUUGGUUUUUGUUUUUUAAGUAAUAGCUAUCAUAGUAGGUAUGGAGUAGUAUCUCAUUGUGGUUCAAAUCUUUUUUAACUUUAAAAUUCUUUCAUUGCAAAGACUAUAUCAAAUAGACAUUUAAAGAGUUAUUUUUGACCCAGAUUUUGUUUAUAGUUCCUCUCUUUCUUCUUUUCUCCAAAUAUAAGUAGCAGCCAAUUUAGUCAUGAGAAAGGUAACAACUUAUUUCUUUAAUCUGUAAUUUAUUGUAAAUAUAUCAGGUUCAGUUUGUGUAAACACUUGUAUUUCCUUAGUCUUGUAUGAGGUAAUCUGAUAAUGGAAUGAACUUAUUCAUAUAUUCAUUUGAAAAAUAAUGUGCAAAGUAUUUUAAGUGCUGAAGGUUCAGUAAUAGUAAAUAAGAAAAAUGAAGGCUGCUAUUACAUGAAGUGUUCUAGUUGGGGAGACACAUUAAACAAAUAUAAUUUCAGGUGGUGAUGAGGUGAUGAAGAAAAAUAAAAAUGAAGCAGAGGAGAGGUGGUAUGUGCAGGUGCUACUGUAGAUAAGCUAGUUUUGGAGAGCUUCCCUGAGGAGCUAAUAUUUGAUCAGAGACUCAGUGAUGUGAAGAUGGAAACUAUUUGAAGGUUUGGGAAGAAACAUUCCAGAUAGAACAUACACCUAGUAGAAAGGCCUUGAUCAAGGAAUAAGUUUGUGAUGUUCAAGGAACAGUAAAAUGUAUAUUUAUAAACCCUAGGGAAACCACCAAAAUCUUUUAAGAGAAAUAUAUGUAUAAUUAAGUAGCAAAUAACAGAGAUAAAAUUGAGUGAUUUAAAAAUGUAUUUAAUCAGAUGGGAAAAAGAAAAAAGGAACAACAAGUAAAUGGAUCAAUUAGAAAACUUCAGAAGAUUAUAGAUUUUAUUCUAACCAUAUUAAUAAUGAUAUUAAAUGUAAGUAUUUUAAAUAUACCAAAUAUAAGGCUGGAUAAAAAGUCAAAACCUAUUCUAAGAAACUUGCUUUAAAUUCAAAGAUCUUGGUAGGUUAAAAGUAAAAGAAUGCACUGGCAGUGAACAAUUAGAGAAGGAAAUUAAGGGAAAAAAAGUCCAUUCACAGUAGCUUCCAAAAGAAUAAAGUGCGUAAGAAUAAAUUUAACCAAGAAGGUAAAGACUUGCAUGCUGAAAGCUGAAAUAAUGUUUGUAUAUCUGUCAAAAUAAAGGAGACAUAAAUAAAUGAAAAUAUAUCUCAUAUUUGUAUAUGGGAAGUCUUAAUAUUAAGAUGUCAAUACAAUUCAAAAUCACCUACAGAUUCAAUCCUAUCAAACCUAUCGAAGUUCCCAUGGACUUUUGCAGAAAUGCAAAAAUUGAUUCUAAAAUUCACAUGGAAUUGCAAGUGGCCUUGAAUAGCCAAACAAUCUUGAAAAGAAAGAACAAAGUUAGGGGACUCACUCUUUCUGAUUUGAAAACUUAAUACAAAGCUAGAGUAGUCAAAGUAGUACUGGCAUAAGGGUAGACACACAGAUUAAUGGAAUAGAAUUUAGAGUCUGGAGGUAAACCCAUACAUACAUCUGUGGCCAGUUGGUUUUCCGCAAGGGUGCUAAGAACAUUCAUUUAGGAAUGAAUAGUCUCUUCAACAAAUGAUGCUGGGAAAACGGGAUAUUCUCCUGCUAAAGAAUCAAAUUAGACUCCUAACACACACUAUAUACAAAAAUUAACUAAAAAUAGGUCAAUAGUUGAUAGAUUUUACAGUUUUGUUUUAGGCAGAGUCUUUCUCUGUUGCCAAGCUGUAGUGUAAGGGCACAAUCACAACUCACUGCAGCCUUGACUUCCUGGGCUCAAGUGAUCCUCUCACCUCAGCCUCCCAAGUAGCUGGGACUAUAGGCAUAUGCCACCAUUCCCAGCUAGUUUUUGUAUUUUUUAUAAAGACCGGGUUUCUCCAUGUUGCCCAGGCUGGCCUCAAGCUGAACUCCAGUGAUCUGCCUGCCUCAGCCUCCCAAAGUGCUGAGAUUACAAGCAUGAGCCACCAUGUCCAGCCAAUGUUACAAUUUAAAAAUAACAAUUUUUAUGGUUAUAAAACCGUAAAACCCUUAGGAGAAUACAUGGAGAUAAAUCUUUAUGACCUUGGAUUUGGCAUUGGUUUUAGAUAUUGCUUCUUAGGCACCAAAAGGCAUGAGCAACAAAAGAGAAGAUAAAUUGGACUUCAUCUAAAUGAAAACUUUUUGUGCAUCAAAGGAGAUUAAGAAAGUGGAAAGGUAACCUAUAGAAUGGCAGAAAAUAUUUGCAAGUUGUAGAACUGAUAAGGAUCUACCAUCUAGAGUAUAUCAUGAACUCUUACAACUCAGCAACAAAAAGACAACGCAGUUAUAAAAUGGGCAAAAGACUUGAGUGGACUUUUCUCCAAAGAAGAUAUACAGAUGGCCAAAAAGCAAAUGAAAAGAUGUUCAAUAUCAUUAGUCGUGAGGGAAAUGCAGAGCAAAACCAUGAUGAGGUGCCUCUUCAUAUCCAUUAUAAUGGAUGGCUGUAAUUUUUUAAAAAACAUGUUGGCAAUGAAGUGGAGAAGAUGAAACCCUCAUAUAUUUUUUGAUAGGAAUAUAUAAUGAAAUAUAAAGCUGCUGUGGAAAACAGUUUGGCAGUUUCUCAAAAAGUUAAGCAUAGAAUUACCAUGAUACCCUGCUAUUCAACUCAUAGGUAUGUACCCAAAGUAAGAGAAUGUUUGCACUCAAACAAGUACACAUAUAUACGUUUGUAGUAGCAGUAUUCACAGAAAAGUAGACUCAGCCCAAAAGUCCAUCAGUGAUGAAUGGAUAAGCAAAUUGUUGUAUACACACAAUGGAAUAUUAUUCAACCAUAAAAAGGAAUGAAGUACUAAUACAUGCUGUAAAGUAGAUGAACUUCCAAAAUCUUAAGCUAAGUGAAAAAAGCCAGACACAAAAGAUCACAUAUUGUAUGAUUCCAUUUAUAGGAAAUAAUCUAGAAUAGAUAAAUCUAAAGAGAACAGAACAUAGAUUAGUGAUUUCCAGAAGGUGGUGGUGGAUGAAGGACAAUAAACUGCUUAAUAGGUAAAGGGUUUUACUUUAGAACAAUGGAAAUGAUAUGGAACUAAAUAUGGAUGGUUGUACAACAUUCUUAAUGUAUGGUAAGACCCUCAUUUGUUCACUUUAAAAUGGUUAUUUAAGGCCAGGCAUGGUGGCUCACACCUGUAAUCCCAGCAAUUUGGGAGGCCGAGAUGGGCAGAUCACCUAAGGCCAGGAGUUUCAGACCAGCCUGACCAACAUGGUGAAAUCCCAUCUCUAUUGAAAAUAUAAAAUUUAGCUGGGCAUGAUGGUGCAGACCUCUAAUCCCAGCUACUUGGAAGACUGAGACAUGAGAAUUGUUUGAACUUGGGAGGUGAAGGUUGCAGUGAGCUGAGACUGUGCCACUGCACUCUAGCCUGGGCAAUAGGGAGAAAUUCAAUCACGCUCCCCCCCACUAAAAAAUGUUUAUUUGACCCCCUGCCUUUCCUCCAUGUACCCUUCUUGCCACCUUCAUCUUCUCUUUUGCUGGGUGACCAGGAAGGAAGAAGCUUUUACUCAAGAUGGCUAAAAGUGACUCCAAGAAACCAGAGGGAAAGAUGUCUGCUUCUGCCUUCUUUGUGCAGACAUGCAGAGAAGAAUGUAAGAAAAACCCAGAGGUCUCUGUCAAUUUUGCAGAAUUUUCCAAGAAGUGCUCUGAGAAGUGGAAGACAAUGUCUGGGAAAGAGAACCCUAAAUUCGAUGAAAUGACAAAGGUAGAUAAAGUAUGCUAUGAUUGGAAGAUGAAGGAUUGUGAACCAGUUGAGUGAGGCAAGAAGAAGGACCUUCAUGUUCCCAAAAGGCCACCAUCUGGAUUUUUCCUUUACUGUUCAGAAUUUUGCCUCAAGAUCAAAUCCACAAACCCUGGCAUCUUUAUUAGAGAUGUAGCAAAAAAGCUGGGUGAGAUGUGGAAUAACUUAAGUGUCAGUGAAAAGCAGCCUUGCAUCACUAAGGCAGUGAAGCUGAGGGAGAAAUAUGAGAAGGAUGUUGUUGACUUUAAGGCUAACAGCAAGUCUGGUACAAAGGGUCCUGCUAAAGUUCCCUGGAAAAAGGUGGAAGAUGGCAAAGAGGAUGAGGAGGAGGAAGAGGAAGAAGAAGGUGAUGAUGAAUAAAAAACUGUUUAUCUUUCUCCUUGUUAAUUCCUUAGAGUAGGGGAAUGCUGUAAUUGACACAUCAGUUGUUUGAGAAAUGUCUGUUGCCUCAUUAGGUUUAAUUAUAAAUUUCUAUCACAGUUAUAUGAGAGAGUGCUCUAAAAUUUGUCAGUGGUUUACAUGAAGUGUCCAUGUGCGUCUGGAACACUCUGAAAUUGUAUCAAAGUUGUAUAUAUUUCCAAACAUCCUAAAAAUACAAAGAUAAUCUUGUGUUUUCCUCACUCUAUGCACUUUGCUGUUGGUGUGACAAGGCAUUUAAAGAUGUUUCUGGCAUUUUUUAAAGCAUUUGUAAAGUAGUGUCAACUAUAGGUUAUUAGCAGAAAUCCAGUUAUCAACUGUACAUAUAUAUUGUUUGUAAAAAGAGCAAAACAACCAAGACAAACACUUGGUGCUCAUUCCUUGGCACUGAGCCUGUGGGGACACCACCUUUUGGAGGGGUCAUUGCUUAGAGUGUGCACUGUGAGGCUAGUCCUGUUUCCCCUGCAAUGUGUAUCCAUUUAGCUUCAGCUUGUCCUGUUCCUAUAUGGUAAUAUAACACUCUGCUACCAUUCUUAACUGUGGACAAAGAGGGGUUAGCUAGCCUGAGAAGUGUUUGGAUUUUUUUAGUUAAACUUUUUGAACAAGCUAUAGAACUGUUGUCAGCAAAAUGAAGAGCCACUGCCAUCAAUGAAAGUUCAAGAACCUUCUGUACUUAAAUGUGAUUUUCAGCAUUCUGGGGUUUUUCUUGGUAUGUUUAGAAUGCUGAAAUGUUUUUGAAGUUAAACAAACAGUAUUUAAAAUGAUUAUUAGAAUUUUGCUUCAAUGAAUUGUUUUUAAAAAGAUGAGGCCAGGCGCAGUGGCUUACGCCUGUAAUCCCAGCACUUUGGGAUGCUGAGGCAAGCAGAUCACCUGAGGUCAGGAGUUUGAGACCAGCCUGACCAACAUUGAGAAACCCCAUCUCCACUAAAAAUACAAAAUUAGCCAGGUGUGGUGGUGCCUUCCUGUAAUCCCAGCUACUCAGGAGGCUGAGGCAGGAGAAUCACUUGAACUCGGGAGGGUGAGGUUGCAGUGAGCCAAGAUCAUGACAUUGCACUCCAACCUGGGCAGUAAGAGAGAAACUCUAUCUCCAAAAAAAAAAAAAAAAGAUGAAAUAAAUGACAGUAUAGAGCUUAAGGAAACAUGACACAUUUGAGUAAUUGCAGUAGAAGAUGAGUGUAUGGGGGAACAUAUAAAGUCCCAGUACUAGAACCCAUUGGUGAGGGUCAGGGUAGAACCAGCAACAAGUGAUCUGGUUUGCAUGAGGAGCCUGGGAGGAUUAGGAAAUUCACUUACAUCUGGGUUUGGGCAGGUCUUGAUUAGAGUUGUGGUUGCAUUGAGAUUUACAAGGGAGAAUGUGACAUGAAGUCAAGCAGAGCAGGUUGGGUGGCAGGAAUAGAAGUGAGUCUCAACAGAUUAUCAGACCAGUGGCCUAUAGAACUAUAGCCCAAAGGCAAGGGGAUUAAGAAAUAAGAGACAUGAAUUUGGAAUACCAGUGUUUAGUAGAUUAAUGGGAGAGCAGCUUAGAGCGUGUGCUGUGAGGAUGAAUAUGGGGGCAAUUAUCCACAGCUAAGAUUAGAUGUAAUUUGGGGAUGUGAUAUUUGGAUAGGAUAGCUCAAUUUAAUGUGCCGGAAUAGAGCAAACAUAAGAUUCUUUUUGUUCUUCUAGUUAGAAAUAAGGUUGGUCCCAAAAUAUCAGUGAAUCUGAGUCUGUAGGUAGGGGUGAAGUAGUCUCAGUUGCAAAGAUUAGAAAUUACAGAGGCCAAAGUAGGUUGCUGUGUAGCUAUUGGAAAUGCAUAGAGCUUGAUAACUAAUGACAGUGACUUUUGCCCACAGUGAAUUUCUAGGAGUGAAUGAUGGUCUGCUUAUUAUUAUUGGACACCAAUAUUUAAAUUUCUUUCUUUUUUUUUUUUAAAGAUGGAAUCUUGCUCUGUUCACCCAGGCUGGAGUAUAGUGGCAUGAUCUUGGCUCACUGCAACCUCCGCCUCCCAGGUUUAAGCAGUUCUCCUGCCUCAGCCUCCUGAGCAGCUGAGACUAUAGGUGCAUGCAACCACGCCCAGCAAAUUUCUUGUAUUUUUAGUAGAGACAGGGUUUUACCAUAUUGGCCAGGCUGAUCUCGAACUCCUGACUUCAUGAUCCACUCGCCUCAGUCUCCCAAAGCGCUGGGAUUACAGGUGCAAGCCACCACACAUGGACCAAUAUUUUAAUUUCAAAUGGAAAAAAAUUAAAAGGAUGAAAAGGGUAUCAUAUGGAAAUCUAAGCAAAUAAAAGCCUGGAGUGUCUGCAUUAGUAUCAUGGACAAGGUAGACUUCAGAACAAGGAAUAGCACCAGGAGUAAAGAGGACUAUCUAUAAUGAUAGUUCACCAAGAAGACAUAACAGUCCUAUUUAAGAUGAUGUGUGCUUAGGAAUGUAUGUCACCUAAUACAUGUAUGCUAAUAGGAACAUUAGACUGAACUGAUAGAACUGAAAGGUAGAGUGAACAAAUUCACAAUUACAGUUCAAGUCUUCAGCACCCCUGUCUCAGUAAUUGAUAAAGCAAGUAGGUAGCAGAUCAGUAUGGUUAUAGAAGACCUGAACAGUACUAUCAUCCAGCCUGCCCUGAUAGAUAUUUAUGGAACACUGUACCUAAUAACAGCAGAAUACAUAUUAUUUUCAAGCAUACAUGGAAGAUGUAUAAAUAUAGAACAUAUUCUGGGCCAUAAGAGAAACUUUAUCAAAUUUGAAAUAAAUGAAAUUAUACAAAGGAUCUUUGCUGACUCUAACAGCAUUCAGUUAGAAAUUAAUAAUAGGUAUCUGGAAAAUCCCCUAAUAGUUGGAAAUAAUACAUUUUUACCCAUGGGUCAAAGAGGAAGUCUAAAAGGAAAUUAGAACAUAUUUUAAGUAAAUGAAAAUGAAGACACAACAUCUAAAAAUUUGUAGGAACCAUCUAAUGCAAUGUUUAGUGAAAAAUGUAUUAAGUUCUUAUAAUAUGAAGUGGAAAAUGUAUUAAGUGUAUAUAACAUUAGGCAAGUCAGUAAGUCUCAAAAUCUAAGCUUCCACCUUAAGAAACUAGACAGAUAAAGCAAAUUCAAGCUAACCAAGCAGAAUGGACAAAUAAAAAAAAGUAGCAGUUAAAUUGAAAAUAAAAGUUGAGAAAAUUUGUGAAACCAAAAGCGGGUUUCUUGAAAUGAUCAGUAGUAAACUUGACAAAUCUCUGUCCAGACUGACUAAUUAAGAUGGAAGAAAAACCAAUGUCAGGAAUGACAUUAACUUUUUACAGACAUGGCCCAGUUGUCUUGUUUCAUAUUCUAGAUUUGUCUAAUUCCUUCCUCCUAGUGUCAUUUUAUUUCUUGUAAACUAGACUCAGUUAAACAUUUAGAUCAUAGAUGAUGUUGUAAACUUCUUUUUGCUUUAAAUCAGGAAGGCACAUGAUAUAAAUUGUGCCCACUAUUAGUGAUGCUGAGUUUGAUUUCCAUGCUAGGUUUGGUUAUCACAGGGUCUCUCCCUUGUAAAAGGUAUGAUUUCAUGUUUGCAACUAUUAAGUGAUCUGUUGGAAAUAUUUUUGCACCAGAUAACUAUCUUGUUCUCCGUCUACCUUUUACCUAAUGGUUUUACCCUCCACAGAUGAUCCUUACGGAAUCAGUUAUUACAUUAGGUUUCCAAAAUGGUGAUUUUCAUAUUCUCUCAUUUUUCUACAUUUAUUAGCUCUAAACAAGAAUCUUUCUCUUUUUUCCCUUUUAAUAUCUCUAGCUUCCUCUGACUCAUUAUGGACUCUAUUAUGUUACUAAAAAUUUGUUGACUUUUAUUCAGUAUUUCAUAUUAUUCUUAAUAGUUUUAAUCCUAUUGGUACAAUGAUAUGCUAUAGUUAUCUUACAAUAGUGCAUUAAACUUUUGAGUAGGAGUUUUUGAAAGGUAGAGUUUAUUUUUAACUAAUUUGAGCACUGGCAUUCUUUAACAAGUGUUUCUGCAGUUCCAGUUAUAGAAUGAUUGUCUUUAAUAGGUCACUACCUCCAUUUUACACUGGCACUUGAUAGUUUGAACCUAAUAUUGUUAGUUUUCAAAAUGAUUUGAAGGCCAGGCACAGUGACUCAUGCUUGUAACCAUGGCACUUUGAGAGACAAGAUGGGAGAAUUGCUUGAGGCCAGGAGUUCAAGACUAGUGACAUAGCAAGACCCUGUCUCUACAAGAAAUUUAAAAAAUUAGCCAAGCAUGGUGGCACGUGCCUAUAAGUCCUAGCUACUGAGGAGGCAGAUGUGGGAGGAUCUCUUGAGUGAUCAUAGACGAUGACACUGCACUCCAGAUUGGGCGACAGAGCAAGACCCUGUCUCUCUUAAAAAAAAAAAAAUUGAGUUAAUUUAUUAUUGAGUUUGGUAUUUAGUGCACUAAAUAAUAAAUUAAAUAAAUAAUUUAAAACUAAGCAUAAGAUCAAAGUGAGCAUACAGAUUAAACUGUCCCUUCAAGUAUUUUACAUGCUCCAUAUGAGUUUUUCCAAGAAUCCCCUACACGCAGAAAUCUUCCAAUGAUACGUCAUACAGUUGCACAUUGGACUCUUCCUAAUGUAGUGUGGAACAAAUGUGUUUAUGUUGGACAGCUUUUUCUAAUGAAACCAACUGUCUGAAUCUAGCUUGAUCUAUUUAAAAGCUUUUUUACCUACCUCUGACUGCUUAUCAUUCAGGUAUUUUUAUUACGCUGUUUUGUCGAGCUGUUCUUGGUCUUCUCUUUCAGGUGUUUUUAUAUGCAGUUUAGUUCAGCAUAAGUAAGGAGGAAUUUGAGUUAAAAGUUCGCUGAAUGCUGACAUGACUGCCUUUUGAAGUUCUUGGGACCUUCAUACUAGAAAGGGAGACUAGACAGAAUUCUUCUGACCUUCCCUCCCUUUUCUGUAAUUCUAUAGAGAACAUCAAGGAAUUACGUAGGACUUUUUUUUUUUUUUGAGACAGAGUUUUGCUCUUGUUACCCAGGCUGGAGUGCAACGGCGCGAUACCUCCGCCUACUGGGUUCAGGCAAUUCUCAUGCCUCGGCCUCCUGAGUAGCUGGGAUUACAGGCAUGCACUACCGUGCCCAGCUAAUUUUUUUUUUUUUUUUGUAUUUUUAGUAGAGACGGGGUUUCACCAUGUUGACCAGGAUGGUCUCGAUCUCUUGACCUCGUGAUCCACCCGCCUCGGCCUCCCAAAGUGCUGGGAUUACAGGCGUGAGCCACCACGCCCAGCUUAUGUAGGACUUUUAAGAACCAAGGAUUUGAUAGGAAUAUAAACCCACCUUACCUGGAUUAAACACAUAAAUAAAUGUUAAUAAAAUUCAAACUACCUGUUUAACACUGAAGUUGUGAAUUCUUCUAGAUAAUGUGCUUUAGAAAAUGUUUGUUCAGUAGCAUUUAGGAAUUACCCACACCUGAUACACCUGGUGGGUUUGUUUUUCUUUAGGAACAUGGAAAUUAGUUGAUACAGGUCUCUCUAAAAAUCCAAGAUAGAUGACUUUACACAUACAAUUUGGUAAAUUCUUCAACUUUUGGUCACUAUACCUAUAAAUCUGGACAGAGAUUUUUUUCCAGAACCAAUUUUGACCUUAGUCUAAGGAUAAAAUGUUUACAUUCCUAUGUGAUCAUAUUUUCCUUUUAGUUUAAAUAAUAAGGGAGGGGUUACUUUACAUUUUCUUCAGCAUUAACAACAAAAAAUUUUAUAGUUACAUAAAUAACCAGAGGUAAAUAUCUUCUUAAAGGAUGUAUGUAAUUUUUGGAUGUUGAGCACAAAUCAUAUAAAAAUUAUAUAUUUUUCAACAAAUUUAGUGUAGGAAAUAUUUAAAUUGUGCAAUCAUAUUGCUUGGGGUUUUAAAAAUCCUGUUUACAGCAUGUGGUAGGGAGGAUUAUAAGCAUCUUUUUGAAGUCAUAUGCUGAGGGAGAGCAAGAUAUACUUUUUAUUUUUUUCUGCUGUAGUUUUGUGGUCUAGAAACCUAUUCCAGAGUACUUGCUUUGUGUAACUUUUUUUCAGAUGCUUUUGGAUACGUUGGUCCAAAUGUGCCAUCUUCCCAUAUUUUUACAAAUUUUGUUUUGGAACAAAUGGAAACAUUGUAUCAUUAUUUUGUUUUGGGAAAGUGCUUCAAGAUUUCUGGUUGGGCAUUUCAAAUAGAUUAACCAUCACUUUUAUAGAUUUUUUUUCCCCCGCAGGAUUCAACUUCCACUUCCCAUAUUUAAUGUCAAAUAUAUAAUACAGGGGUUUUGUUGUUAAACCAAGAGUUAACUAGCUGAUUCAUUUAGCAGAUAUAUUUUGCUCACCUACCUAUGAAAAACACUGUGUGGUUCUGUUAACCAGAACCAAAUGUUUUUAAACAUUUAAAAAAUUAAUUGCACAAUUAAUUUUUUAAAAAAUUUUACCUUAAAUUCUAGGAUACGUGUGCAAAACAUGCAGGUUUGUUACAUAGGUAUACAUGAGCCAUGGUAGUUUGCUGCAUCUAUUGACUCAUCCUCUAACUUCUCUCCUCUUCCUCCCCACCCCCCAACAAGCCCUGGUGUUUGUUGUUCUCCUCCCUGUGUCCAUGUGUUCUUAUUGUUCAACUACCACUUAUGAGUGAGAAGAUGUGGUGUUUGGUUUUCUGUUCCAGUGUUAGUUUGCUGAGGAUGAUGGUUUUAUGUCCCUGCAAAAGACAUGAUCUCAUUUCUUUUUAUGGCUGCAUAGUAUUCCAUGGUGUUUAUGUACCACACUUUCUUUAUCCAGUCUGUCAUUGAUGGACAUUUGGGUUGGUUCCAAGUGUUUGCUAUUGUAAAUAGUGCUGCAGUAAACAUACAUGUGCAUAUGUCUUUAUAGUAGAAUGAUUUAUAUUGUUUUGGGUAUAUACCCAGUAAUGGGAUUGCUGGGCCUAAUGUUAUUUCUGGUUCUAGAACCUUGAGGAAUCACCAUACUGUCUUCCAUGGUGGUUGAACUAAUUUACUUUACCACGAACACUGUAAAAGCAUUCCUAUCUGCCCACAGCCUCACCAGCAUCAAUUGUUUCUUGACUUUUUAAUAAUCACCAUUCUGACUGGCAUGAGGUGGUAUUUCAUUAUAGUUUUGAUUUGCAUUUCUCUAAUGAUCAGUGAUGUUGAGCUUUUUUUUUCAUAUGUUUUUUGACCUUGUAAAUAUCAUCUUUUGAGAAGUGCUGUUCAUAUCCUUUGCCCACUUUUUGAUGGCUUUUUUUCUUGUAAAUUUGUUUAAGUUCCUUGUAGAUUCUGGAGAUUAGACCUUUGUCGGUUGGGUAGAUUGCAAAAAUUUCCUCCCAUUCUGUAAGUCACCUGUUCACUCUGAUGAUAGUUUCUUUUGCUGUGCAGAAGCUCUUUAAUUCGAUCCCAUUUGUCAGUUUUGGCUUUUAUUGCCAUUGCUUUUGGUGUUUUCAUUAUGAAGUCUUUGCUCGUGCCUAUGUCCUGAAUGGUAUUGCCUAGGUUUCUUCCAGGGUUUUUAUGGUUUUGGGUUUUACAUUUAAGUUUUUAAUCUAGCUCGAGUUAAUUUUUGUAUAAAGUGUAAGGAAGGGAUCUGGUUUCAGUUUUUUGCAUAUGGCUAGCCAGUUUUUCGAGCACCAUUCAUUGAAUAGGAGAUCCUUUCCCAAUUGCUUGUUUUUGUCAGGUUUGUCAAAGAUCAGAUGGUUGUAGAAGUGUGGUGUUAUUUCUGAGGUCUCUGUUUUGUUCCACUGGUCUGUAUGUUUGUUUUGGUACCAGUGCCAUGCUAUUUUGGUUACUGUAACCUUGUAGUGUAGUUUGAAGUCAGGUAGCAUGAUGCCUCCAGCUUUGUUCUUUUUGCUUAGGAUUGUCUUGGCUACACGGGCUCUUCUUUGGUUCCAUAUGUAAUUUAAAGUAGUUUUUUUUUUUCUAAUUCUGUGAAGAAUGUCAAUGGUAGUUUGAUGGGAAUAGCAUUGAAUCUAUAAAUUACUUUGGGCAAUAUGCAAAAUUUAUUAUUUAGAUUUGUGAUAAGUGUUACAAAAGAGUUGAGAACAGGGUUCCAUGAAAUGUUUGGGUUCCUGAAAGGAACAUAUAAAUGUUGUAUCUUGAACUUAAUUAAAAGCUUAAUGUAUAUUUAAAUUCAUAUCUGUCCAAGUUACUCACUUGAAUGUGAAAUGUACUGUUCUAGGAAUUUCUUAAUACAAGAAUAUUAUGUGAGAUCUGUAUGCUUAGAUUUUUGUAGAAGUUUAGAUUUUUUUAGUAUUAUAUCAUUAGAUUUUACAAAAGUAUAUAUUAAAGAUAUAUUAAGCUCUUCAAGACCUAUAUGGCUUAAAGGUAAGGAACAUGGACUCUGUAAUACAAACUCUCAAUUAAUAGCACUAUCAAUUGCUGUUUGAACUUGGGGCACCCUAUUAGUUUCCUUAUUAGUAAGGUGGUAUUGUGGUGAAGGUUAAAGGCAAAUACAAAGUGCUUAACAUGUCUGGCACAUAGUAAGCGCUCAGUAGACGUUAGCUGCUAUCAUAAUCAUUAUUACUGUCAAACAUUAAAACCUGUUUAUAAAACUGUUUAUUUUCCUUGUGGAAAAUAGAAUAAAUUGAAACUGCAGUGGCUAGCUUCAGAUAAUUUAUAGUUCACAGCCGAAUCUAUUCAUGUUGUCGUUUUAAUAGGAAUUCUGCUACUCAUUGGUUGUGUGCCUUUGAAUAAGUUAUUUAACCUUUCUGUGCCACAGCAUGUCCUGUGUUUAACAGAGGUAAUUAUAAUAGAAAGUUAUUGAGACUUAAGUGAAUUGAUACUCUGGAAAAUGCCUGGUACAUAGUGAGUGUUCAGUGAAUGGUAGCAAUUAUUAGGAGUAUUAUUAACAUUAUUCCAUUAUCACAAUUCUACCAGUUUGCUUAGCCAAUGUCAUAGGCUGCCAAUAACUAAAGCCAAAACUUACAAAGAGCUAAAAAUGAUACAGUAAAAAUUUUCAUAGACUAAAUAUUAAAAGAAGUAUCACCUUCCUGACCAAAUUUAGAUCUGCAGAAAUUUGAACAGGAAAGUUCAGAAAUGGUAGAAAUAAUGCCCAAAAAAGAAAAUUCAAUUCAGGAGUUCUAAUGGGUCAAAUUUGGACUGGAACAAACAACAACAAUAAAACAUCUAGUUAAUAAAUUUAAACUUAUUUGCAAAAUUUACCCAUUAAGAAUUGAUCCUAAUGAAAAUACCAAUAAAAGUCGAUGUGGAUAGAAUUGGACAGGGCUAAUUGGUAUAUAGGAAAAUUGGUAAUGGAAUGAAGUUGGCUUCAUGGAAUUAGAUUCUUUGUUAAUAUUAAAGCGUAUACUUUUCAUUAACAUGUUCACAUUAAUAAUCAUAGAAUCAAAACUUUCUCAGGCUCAAAACAGUAGCUGCAGAAAACACCUACCUGAUCCAGUUGGUGGAAUUGUAAAAAUGCCUUCUAUUCAUUACAAUCUAGUCUGAGAGGUAGCAUAAUAUAUUAAAUAACAAUACCCACAGUAAGUGCUGCACUGGUUAGGAGGGAGUGUAUAUGAGACCACUGAAGUAAUCCAAAGAAAGAGAUGAGGGCAGGAAUAAAAAUAACGGCAAUGAAGAUGAGAGGAGCAAAUUAACAAAAUAACUGGAAGAAAAAUUAGUGAGAUAUUGUGAUUGGGUGGUACGGGUUGAAUAGAAGAGUUUUGACUUGAACUCUUGUGAGAUUGGGGUGUCCUUAACAGGAUAGUAAAUACAUGAGGAAGAAAAGAUGGAGAGUUCAGUUUUGACAUGUUGAAUAUGAGAUGAAUAUGAAGCCAGCCAGAUGGAAUUGACCAGUAGGAAGUUGUAAAUGUGGAUAAAUGUGGAUCUGUAGCUUAGUAGAAAGGUCUUGGCUGGAAAUAUGGAUUUGAGAGUCAUCACAAAUCCAUACUUGGAUCCUCUCCCCUCCAUUCUCCUCCUCUCUUCUCCUCUUCCUCCUCCUCUUUCUCUUCUUCCUCCCCUUUCUCACCUUCUCCUCUUCCUACUUUCUCCUCCUCUUCCUUCUCCUCCUCCUCCUCCUGCCGCUUCUCCUCCCUCUUUUCCCCUUUUUCUCCUUGUCUCCUCCCCUCCCCUCCUCUACUCUCCCCUCCUUUUUCUUUCUCUUUUUCCCCCCUGCAAGUUUCUAUCAUUACAUGCCUCCUGUCUCUCUGUCUCUGUUUCUUUCUACCUUCCCCUUUUUACUGUUUUAUAAAUUGUUCCUUGGUGAUUUUAUUCAUUGUCUUUGUAGACAAUAUAUAGAUCUAGACAAUAUAUAGAUCUGAUACUUCCUAAAUACAUAGACUCUACAGACAGUACCUCAAAUAAUGUAGGGAUAAUUAUAAAAUAAGAAAAAAAGGAAAAAUUGAGAGACAACACAGUGAUGAAACCCUUGAGACUACGGAUUGAUAUAUACACAUACACAUACACAUACACAUACACAUACACAUACACAUACACAGUUACAUGAAGUAGAAUUCACAGGGAAGACAGAAAAUAGGCAGGAGAUCAACAAUAGUAAUGCCUGAAAAUCUAAGGGGAGGAGUUAUAGGUAAGAGUGACCAGUGUGUUCGAUGUCCUAGACUGUCCAGUGAAGGUAAGAGCUGAAUAAAGGACAAUUAUAUGUUUUUGAUUUAAGGAAUUACAUGACUUAAAGUGGUGAUUUGGGGCACUCUGGUGCCAGCAUACACAAUGGGUCAAAAUGGAAAUGCAGACAUCAGAUACUAGGGUAAUGGUGGGAAAUGAAAAAAAUGACAAGUGCAAGAUUCUAUAGCCAAAAAAAAAAAAAAAUAGCUUAUUGUUCCAUGACAGGCAGCAACACUAGGGGGCCGUGUAAUGGAUUUUAGGCCAGCGGCAAAUAGAGAAUUCAAGGAAAAGCAGUGAUUUGGGGAAGAUGACAAUCAACCUUUUAAUUCAGUUUGAUUUUGAAUAUGGAACAUUUGUGUGGAAAUGACCACAAGUCAGAAGCAAGAACUUCUGAGAAUGGUAAUACUUGGUAUUAGAGAUCCAGUAUAGUCUCUUACAUUGAAUUAAUGAUCAUAAAAAUAGCCCGGGAAUUAGAGUACCUUGUAGGAGCAGAGAUUCUUAAGUUGAAAUAUAUGGAAGCUUCAGAGAAGUCUGAAAUUGUAUCUAAAAUACUGUGAAUACAAUUUUUUUUUUUUUUUUGGAAAAGAGAGUCCUGUGGACCUUAUAUGAUUCCCAAAGAGUCUCAAAGUGACUCAAGGGAUAAGAGAGUGAAGCAGGUGACUGAUCAUACAGGCAAGAAUAAGCAUCAAGAUGAGAGAACCAAGAUAAAACUAGGAUAAAAAGUUACAGAAAAUGACAACAGAGGGAAAGUUGGUGAGAAAAUUAAAAGAGGUAUAAAAAAUCUUAAAAAGGUACAGAUUCAUGUUUUAUCUGUUAUAUCACCAGAAAUACUCUGUAUUCCUUAGACCCUGUAUAAUUUGCAGUGUGUUAAUUGGUCAUCAUGAUGAUGACCUGAGAAUAAAGAAUUAUAUUCUGUCGACUCUGUCAGUGGCAAAAAAUUACAUAAUGUGUUUAGAAUUAUUUUAAUCCAGAACACUAAAAUAAUAUUUUUAGUGUAUAAAAAUCGUAAGAUAUAUAUUUUUGAGAAUGACUUGUUAUCAGAGCAUUUCAAUUCUCUGUAAAGUUUAAUAAAGAUUUGUUCCCAAUAUUACCAUAGUUUUUUGUACUUCAUUGGAUUAGUUGGUUUAUACCAAUCAAGAAUUCCAUUCUCAUAUGGGCCUUUUGAGUUCAGUGUUUUCUUGGGGAUCUCCUAAUAUAAAGUCUUAGCAAGCAAACCUGUACUACAGUUGCCAGGACUUUAAGUUGAGG